CCUACGGGUGGCAGCAGUGGGGAAUAUUGCACAAUGGGGGAAACCCUGAUGCAGCGACGCCGCGUGAGUGAAGAAGUAUUUCGGUAUGUAAAGCUCUAUCAGCAGGGAAGAAAAUGACGGUACCUGAUUAAGUAGCUACGGCUAACUACGUGCCAGCAGCCGCGGUCAUACGUCGGGGGCAAGCGUUCUCCGGUUUGACUGGGUGGAAAGGGAGCGUAGACGGCAGUACAAGUCUGGAGUGAAAUGCCGGGGCUUAACCCUAGGACUGCUUUGGAUACUGUGCAACUAGAGUGCAGGAGAGGUAAGUAGAAUUCCUGGUGUAGCGGUGAAAUGCGUAGAUAUUAGGAGGAACACCAGUAGCGAAGGCGGCUUACUGGACGGUAACUGACGUUGAGGCGCGAAAGCGUGGGGAGCAAACAGGAUUAGAUACCCCAGUAGUC
rnacentral:rRNA from 1 species